UCCCUAUGGGGUGCAGCAGUCGCGAAAACUUUGCAAUACACGAAAGUGUGACAGGGUCAUCCCGAGUGCCGACCGCUGAGGUUGGCUUUUACCCAGUCUAGAAAGCUGGGGGAAUAAGGAGAGGGCAAGUCUGGUGUCAGCCGCCGCGGUAAUACCAGCUCUCCGAGUGGUGUGGACGUUUAUUGGGCCUAAAGCAUCCGUAGCUGGCUGUUCAAGUCCCCUGUUAAACCCACCGAUUUAAUCGUUGGCUUGCGGGGGAUACUGUUCGGCUAGGGGACGAGAGAGGCAGACGGUAUUCCCGGGGUAGGGGUGAAAUCCUAUAAUCCCGAGAAGACCACCAGUGGCGAAGGCUGUCUGCUAGAACGCGCCCGACGGUGAGGGAUGAAAGCUGGGGGAGCGAACCGGAUUAGAUACCCGGGUAGUCCCAGCUGUAAACGAUGCAGACUAGGUGUUUGGACGGCCACGUGCCGUUCUAGUGCCGCAGGGAAGCUGUUAAGUCUGCCGCCUGGGGAGUACGAUCGCAAGAUUGAAACUUAAAGGAAUUGGCGGGGGAGCACCACAAGGGGUGAAGCUUGCGGUUUAAUUGGAGUCAACGCCGGAAAUCUCACCGGGAGCGACAGCAGUGUGAAGGCCAGAUUAAAGGUCUUGCCAGACGAGCUGAGAAGAGGUGCAUGGCCA
rnacentral:rRNA from 1 species